AAAUGUCCCCUAGCAUUAACUCCCAGCCCCCAGCUCUCCUGCCCCAUGCUUGCCCCCCUCAAUGUUCUGCUGAGCACUUUGAAAACUCAGAAACUUCCUGUGGUUCUUGGAGUGGUUCUGAACCUAAUUUUAGCUGGUUGGCAGCAGCGUGGUGAGAGCCAAGCCCAGCCCCUGUGGAUGUCCCUCCUCAGUAACCCACACUGCCAUUCCCUUCAUACAAACACCAUCGAGCAAUUCAAUAUUCACAGAAAUGACGCCUCUAAAAGCCACAGCCUAAAGAAAAGGAGAGCCAGGGCAAGGUCCCGAGUCAGUCUGGAGCACUGCAGAAGGAUGAGAGUUCAAUUUACCAGUUCAUUAAAGAAAUGAAGGAGCCAGGGGACAAGAGUCACUCUGCAGAGCAAGCCAGCAAUCACCCAAGCCUGAGAGGAAAAGGGCACAGCAGCAAAAAGCAGCGGCCUCUGCAACCCUCAGGAGGGAAUUAACCUGCACAGAGGUGAUUGCUGAAAUUCUGAAAAGCGAGGUCAGCAGCAGCCACAAAGCCUAGAGAGAACU